GCCUACAGCCAUACCACCCUGAAAGCGCCCGAUCUUGUCUGAUCUCGGAAGCUAAGCAGGGACGGGCCUGGUUUGUACCUGGAUGGGAGACCACCUUGGAAUACCAGGUGUUGUAGGCU
rfam:Xenopus tropicalis strain Nigerian scaffold_1360_contig_8, whole genome shotgun sequence.